UACAGAGACUGCAAGCGUUAUUCGGAUUCACUGGGCGUAAAGGGUGCGCAGGCGGCCGUGUGUGUGAGGCGUGAAAGCCCGGGGCUCAACCCCGGAAUUGCACCUCAAACUACAUGGCUAGAGCAUUGGGGAGGGAAGCGGAAUUCACGGUGUAGCAGUGAAAUGCGUAGAUAUCGUGAGGAACACCAGAGGCGAAGGCGGCUUCCUGGACAAUUGCUGACGCUCAGGCACGAAAGCGUGGGGAGCAAAAGGG
rnacentral:rRNA from 1 species